rnacentral:tRNA from 1 species
AUGUGUGCCCGAGAACCUAGGGAUUACUUUGAUAGAGUAAACUACAGGGAUUAUGACCCCCUCACCUCCU